rnacentral:rRNA from 1 species
GGUGAACGCUGGCGGUAGGCCUAACACAUGCAAGUCGAACGGCAGCACAGUAAGAGCUUGCUCUUACGGGUGGCGAGUGGCGGACGGGUGAGGAAUACAUCGGAAUCUACUUUUUCGUGGGGGAUAACGUAGGGAAACUUACGCUAAUACCGCAUACGACCUACGGUUGAAAGCAGGGGAUCUUCGGACCUUGCGCGAUUGAAUGAGCCGAUGUCGGAUUAGCUAGUUGGCGGGGUAAAGGCCCACCAAGGCGACGAUCCGUAGCUGGUCUGAGAGGAUGAUCAGCCACACUGGAACUGAGACACGGUCCAGACUCCUACGGGAGGCAGCAGUGGGGAAUAUUGGACAAUGGGCGCAAGCCUGAUCCAGCCAUACCGCGUGGGUGAAGAAGGCCUUCGGGUUGUAAAGCCCUUUUGUUGGGAAAGAAAAGCAGCAGGUUAAUACCCCGCUGUUCUGACGGUACCCAAAGAAUAAGCACCGGCUAACUUCGUG